UAGGAUGACCAACCAUCUGGUUUGCCUGGGACUGAGCGAUUUCCCAGGACAUGAGACUUUCAGUGCGAAAACUGGGACAAUC
rnacentral:miRNA from 1 species